rnacentral:rRNA from 1 species
UACGGGGGGGGGGUAAGCGUUGUUCGGAAUUACUGGGGCGUAAAGGGCUCGUAGGCGGCCAACUAAGUCAUACGUGAAAUCCCUCAGCUUAACUGGGGGAACUGCGUGUGAUACUGGAUGGCUUGGAUUUGGGAGAGGGAUGCGGAAUUCCAGGUGUAGCGGUGAAAAUGCGUAGAUAUCUGGAGGAACACCGGUGGCGAAGGCGGCAUCCUGGACCAACACUGACGCUGAGGAGCGAAAGCCAGGG